rnacentral:rRNA from 1 species
AGAGUUUGAUCCUGGCUCAGAAUGAACGCUGGCGGCAGGCUUAACACAUGCAAGUCGAACGAUUAAAGCCCCUUCGGGGGUGUAUAAAGUGGCAAACGGGUGAGUAACACGUGGGAAUGUACCUUUUGGUCUGGAAUAGCCCUUGGAAACGAGGAUUAAUGCCGGAUAUGCUCUACGGAGGAAAGAUUUAUCGCCAAAAGAUCAGCCCGCGCAACAUUAGCUAGUUGGUAGGGUAAUGGCCUACCAAGGCUGCGAUGUUUAGUUGGUCUGAGAGGAUGAUCAGCCACACUGGGACUGAGAUACGGCCCAGACUCCUACGGGAGGCAGCAGUGAGGAAUAUUGCGCAAUGGAGGAAACUCUGACGCAGCCAUGCCGCGUGUGUGAUGAAGGCCUUAGGGUUGUAAAACACUUUAAGCAGGGAAGAUAAUGACGGUACCUGCAGAAUAAGCCCCGGCUAACUCCGUGCCAGCAGCCGCGGUAAUACGGAGGGGGCUAGCGUUAUUCGGAAUUACUGGGCGUAAAGCGCGCGUAGGCGGAUUGGAAAGUCAGAGGUGAAAUCCCAGGGCUCAACCCCGGAACUGCCUUUGAAACUAUCAAUCUAGUAUUCGGUAGAGGUAAGUGGAAUUCCUAGUGUAGCGGUGAAAUGCGUAGAUAUUAGGAGGAACACCAGUGGCGAA